CGCGCAGGCGGUCAUUUAAGUUUGGUGUUUAAUCCCGGGGCUCAACCCCGGGUCGCACUGAAAACUGGGUGACUUGAGUACAGAAGAGGAGAGUGGAAUUCCACGUGUAGCGGUGAAAUGCGUAGAUAUGUGGAGGAACACCAGUGGCGAAGGCGACUCUCUGGGCUGUAACUGACGCUGAGGCGCGAAAGCGUGGGGAGCAAACAGGAUUAGAUACCCUGGUAGUCCACGCCGUAAACGAUGAGUGCUAGGUGUUAGGGGUUUCGAUACCCUUGGUGCCGAAGUUAACACAUUAAGCACUCCGCCUGGGGAGUACGGUCGCAAGACUGAA
rnacentral:rRNA from 1 species